GCUGAGCACUCCACAGUGUGACGCCUUUAGGGAGCCAUGAAAGCUACCAUCUUGCAAUUCUGUUCGUCACGAGUGUUUUUGCCUUGAGGGUAGAAAACCGUGAAGCUGGCGGAUAGGCCACGUGUGUUAAAUGUAGGUCUCACGCUUUCUGCCUUGGGAAACAGUGCUUUUCUUCAGACAAAGGGUUUAUUAAGGGUCUCUCUGUAGUCCUGGCUGUCAGGGAGCUCACUAUAGAAACCAGGAUGGCCUGAAACUCAUGGAGAUGGUUUUGCUUCUGCCUCCCAAGUGCUGAGAUUUAAGGUGUGAACAUGCUACAUUCUAAGUUCCCACUACCAUGGACCAAGCCGUACCAGCCAUCAUGCCUUCCAUGCCAUGAUGGAAACCAUGAGCCAAGAAGAAAUAUCGUCUUCUUUAUGUUGCUUCCAUCAAGAGUUUUAUCAGAGUGAUGUCAAAAGUAGCUAAUACGAGUGGCCUAAUAUGGCAUUUUCUAACUGGGUAGGAGUACAAAGACAUAUUCCCAUAUAGGGUUAUGACUGCUGCAGCAUU